rnacentral:rRNA from 1 species
GUAGAGAAUACCAAGGCGCUUGAGAGAACUCGGGUGAAGGAACUAGGCAAAAUGGUGCCGUAACUUCGGGAGAAGGCACGCUGACACGUAGGUGAAGUGAUUUACUCACGGAGCUGAAGUCAGUCGAAGAUACCAGCUGGCUGCAACUGUUUAUUAAAAACACAGCACUGUGCAAACACGAAAGUGGACGUAUACGGUGUGACGCCUGCCCGGUGCCGGAAGGUUAAUUGAUGGGGUCAGCGCAAGCGAAGCUCCUGAUCGAAGCCCCGGUAAACGGCGGCCGUAACUAUAACGGUCCUAAGGUAGCGAAAUUCCUUGUCGGGUAAGUUCCGACCUGCACGAAUGGCGUAAUGAUGGCCAGGCUGUCUCCACCCGAGACUCAGUGAAAUUGAACUCGCUGUGAAGAUGCAGUGUACCCGCGGCAAGACGGAAAGACCCCGUGAACCUUUACUAUAGCUUGACACUGAACAUUGAGCCUUGAUGUGUAGGAUAGGUGGGAGGCUUUGAAGUGUGGACGCCAGUCUGCAUGGAGCCGACCUUGAAAUACCACCCUUUAAUGUUUGAUGUUCUAACGUGGACCCGUUACCCGGGUUGCGGACAGUGUCUGGUGGGUAGUUUGACUGGGGCGGUCUCCUCCUAAAGAGUAACGGAGGAGCACGAAGGUUGGCUAAUCCUGGUCGGACAUCAGGAGGUUAGUGCAAUGGCAUAAGCCAGCUUGACUGCGAGCGUGACGGCGCGAGCAGGUGCGAAAGCAGGUCAUAGUGAUCCGGUGGUUCUGAAUGGAAGGGCCAUCGCUCAACGGAUAAAAGGUACUCCGGGGAUAACAGGCUGAUACCGCCCAAGAGUUCAUAUCGACGGCGGUGUUUGGCACCUCGAUGUCGGCUCAUCACAUCCUGGGGCUGAAGUAGGUCCCAAGGGUAUGGCUGUUCGCCAUUUAAAGUGGUACGCGAGCUGGGUUUAGAACGUCGUGAGACAGUUCGGUCCCUAUCUGCCGUGGGCGCUGGAGAACUGAGGGGGGCUGCUCCUAGUACGAGAGGACCGGAGUGGACGCAUCACUGGUGUUCGGGUUGUCAUGCCAAUGGCACUGCCCGGUAGCUAAAUGCGGAAGAGAUAAGUGCUGAAAGCAUCUAAGCACGAAACUUGCCCCGAGAUGAGUUCUCCCUGAGACUUUAGGUCUCCUGAAGGAACGUUGAAGACGACGACGUUGAUAGGCCGGGUGUGUAAGCGCAGCGAUGCGUUGAGCUAACCGGUACUAAUGAACCGUGAGGCUUAACCUUACAACGCCG